AACUGCGGAGCCAGAGGUCACGGUGCUGGACCUGACGAUCCUGUCGCCGGGCAGACCGGACCUGGUCCUUCCCAUCCCGUUCCAGGCGGACGACAAGGGCUAUGCGUUUGCUCUCAAGGACGGCAGCCCCUACAGCUUCCGCUUCUCCUUCGUCGUCUCCAACAACAUCGUGUCCGGCCUCAAGUACACCAACACUGUCUGGAAGACUGGCGUCAAAGGUUCGUCACACAUGAUAUAUGUCAUAUCAGUGUCAUUAUAUCGCAUUGCUCAUCCAACCACAAAGAAUAACAUGCGAUAUAUAUACUAGCUCCGUUCUCGAAUAUUUAUUCGAACUAAAACGCGACAAAUAAAAAACAACGCAGUGAGUAUAUACCAUGGGAGCAAGCUAGAGGUUUGGUCCUUUUGUAAUCUUUCUACGAUUGUCCAAAUAAUUAACGGUGUUUGUCGCAGUGGAGACCCAGAAGAUGAUGCUGGGAACGUUCAGCCCCCAGCUAGAGCCCUAUAUCUACGAGGGCGAAGAAGAGACGACACCUGCUGGCAUUUUUGCUAGAGGCUCCUAUUCCGCUAAACUAAAG
rnacentral:lncRNA from 1 species